AGGCAGUGUGAUGUCAUUAUGUAUGUGGAUCCUCAUCUACUUCCUUUUUAGCUGCUUUUCUCCAGCAAGUACUGCCUUCAUGUACACAGCGGAAGCACUGCUCUGUAAACCAAGAAGCAUCUGUACAAAUAAGUAGCAAUUCUGGCAUUCUUACUGGACUACGUUACUCAUGCAGAGAUACUUUUAGCUCUACAAUCUUGAGGCUCACAUGCUUCUGAAAGGGCCAUCCCUGGAAACGUCUAAGCCAGAGGCUAUGAUGGCCCUGGCCUCAGAGGAGAGGUAGGGUGAGAGUGGAGGAAGCUUCUCCCCUCUUCCGCUCAGGAUUUGUACAUUUCUUACCCCAAGGCUGAGAACAGAGAAAAACAUCUUCUGUUUUUCCUGGAGAAGCAAUCCAGUGGACUGAAACAGGUAACAGCCUGG